GACGGAAGGUGCAAGCGUUGCUCGGAAUCACUGGGCGUAAAGGGUGCGUAGGCGGCUUGGUGGGUCUGGUGUGAAAGCCCCGGGCUCAGCCCGGGAAGGGCGCUAGAAACUGCCGAGCUCGAGUGCCGGAGGGGAGAGUGGAAUUCCUGGUGUAGCGGUGAAAUGCGUAGAUAUCGUAAGGAAGACCAGUGGCGAAGGCGGGUCUCUGGACAGUUCCUGACGCUGAGGCACGAAGGUCAGGGGAGCAAACGGG
rnacentral:rRNA from 1 species